rnacentral:snRNA from 1 species
GUACUUACCGGGCAGGGGAGAUACCAUGAUCACGAAGGUGGUUUUCCCAGGGCGAGGCUUAUCCAUCGCACUCCGGAUGUGCUGACCCCCGUGAUUUCCCCAAAUGUGGGGAACUCGACUGCAUAAUUUGUCGUAGUGGGGGACUGCGAGUGCGCUCUCCCCUU